CCCAGGUCCCCAAGAAGGUGGAACAAAAAGGGGAAGAACAUAAACCCCACAUCGAGAGGCGGGUGAAGACCAUUGUGCAGCAGGUCGUCGAUGGACAGGUGGUGUCCUCCGACGUUGACACCCAAGUGGAGACCAUUCAGUAAUGCUGCUGCUAAACCCUAUACACUGACUUAAAUGGCGUAAAUGAUGUUCAGUGUAUCUCUGUCACAUGGGUUUAAUUAAGGCUUUAACCGUAAUUUACUUUUAAGCUUGCAAAAGCAGUUCAGCUUCUUCAGUGAGUUACGUUGGUAUUUUCAUUCUUGAUUGGCGAUGUAGGGAAAAGUUUCAGUGAGUGAUGAUAUUUACCUGGUGGAUGCUUCUUCUGAUAAGUCACAAUAUGAUUUAAAGUCAUACAGAUGAUGCGCUGUCUUAAUUAUAACUCUGAGAGGUGGAUGGUAUGAAGGCAGACUGUGUUUUUGAACAAUUUCAUCAUAAAGUCAACUGAAACACUUUUGUUAUAACACUUUAAAAUUAGUAUGUGAAGCUCCUCAGACAUCCAGGUCAUAGUAUAACAAUAACAACACCAACUGCAUGCGCUUAAAGUCACCAUCUCCUCCUGACUGUCCUGACAAUAAAAAUACUGCAGUGCUUGAUAAAAA